rnacentral:rRNA from 1 species
AGAGUUUGAUCCUGGCUCAGGACUAACGCUGGCGGCAUGCAUCAUACAUGCAAGUCGAACGGGGAGAGAUUGGGCAACUGAUCUUUCUUAGUGGCGCACGGGUGAGUAACACGUAGGUAACCUACCCGGGAGAUUGGGAUAACAGCUCGAAAGGGUUGCUAAUACCAGGUGAGCCCACGGGCCGAGAGGCCGGUGGGAAAAAGAUGGCCUCUAUUUAUAAGCUAUCGCUUCCGGAUGGGCCUGCGGACUAUCAGCUAGUUGGUGGGGUAACGGCCUACCAAGGCAAUGACGGUUAGCCGGCUUGAGAGAGUGUACGGCCACACUGGAACUGAGACACGGUCCAGACUCCUACGGGAGGCAGCAGUAGGGAAUUUUCCGCAAUGGGCGCAAGCCUGACGGAGCAAUGCCGCGUGAGGGAAGAAGGCCUUCGGGUCGUAAACCUCUUUCGUUUGGGAAGAAAGCGGGCAGCAAGAAACGGCUGUUCGUUGACGGUACUGGAGGAAGAAGCCCCGGCUAAUUACGUGCCAGCAGCCGCGGUAAUACGUAAGGGGCAAGCGUUGUCCGGAAUCACUGGGCGUAAAGGGCGCGUAGGCGGUUCGAUAAGUCGGGAGUGAAAGCGCUGGGCUCAACCCAGCAAUUGCUCUCGAGACUGUCGAGCUAGAGGGUCCUAGGGGAAGCUAGAAUUCCAGGUGUAGCGGUGAAAUGCGUAGAUAUCUGGGAGAAUACCCGUGGCGAAGGCGGGCUUCUGGGGGACACCUGACGCUGAGGCGCGAAAGCUAGGGGAGCGAACGGGAUUAGAUACCCUGGUAGUCC